UCACCCUAACUUACUCCGAGUUCAAGAAUUUCUUGUUUAGGGUGCGGAGGUAGAAUCGGGGUGGAGGAAUAUUUAGUUGAGUUUAGUAAACUGAUCUGAUAAACAAAACUGCACGUGCAGGGAAGGCUUGGUUUCCUGGGUUGCAUUCUGGAAUAAAAGCACAUACAGAGGGCACAUGCGGGGAGAGCGUCGCACGUUCAGCCAAGGGCCGGCAUGUGCAGAAAUGUCUUAUUCAACUUUGAAUUUCAGACCACCUUUUAUAAAAUCUGAUUUCAUCUCCCUCUCUCAUCACUUUUCUCAUUCAUCUCCCUCUCUAUACUCAUCCUUUCUCUCAUCCCUCUUUACAAACACAAACACAACCACUUUCAACUUCUCUCUUAGAUUUCUUAAAAACUAUGAAGAUUUAGAUAGGUGUCCUUGAGGCAUUUUUGGAGAGCUCAUCAAUAGCUUCAUUUUGUACAGUGGAGAUCGUAUUCCGAUGAAGUCAAUUUUUAGGGCUUUUCAUUCGUCUCUUUUCUUGGGUUUGAGGAAAAAAUGUUGUGAACUUGCCGAGGUAGAGAUGUAUAGAAUUGUUUUGGGAGCACGAGGCUUUUAUCUUUUGUUGUUCUAUUUUGAUAAGCCAAGGGCUAUAUUUGUAUAGGUUAGAAAACUAUUGAUCUGUAACCGGGCUUAAGCCUCGGGAACAUGUGGCCCGUUAGGGCAUUAUUUUGUAUUUUAAUUUCUGUUGAA